ACUGUCACGUUCUCUAUCUCUAGAUCUAGAUCUAUCUCGAUCCAAGGUUACAUCGUUUUAUUAGCUCGUGACUUAACCCUACCCGUGCAAGAGCCUCCCCUAUAAAUACGUAUCUUUCACUGGGAAUUUGUAUCUAGGGUUUUGUUUCUGUCCCCUACUGUGUUGUUUUGGUUUUUCGGCAGCAUGAAUGAGCGCUUCAUCCAGUAAUCCUUCCCUGCAAAGUCCUUUUCCACUUUGAUGAUGCACAAGAGGCUAUAUUAUACCGAGCAUGGAAGCUUUCGUAGGUGGCUUGCGUGAAUUGGGAGAUCUUGAUGAGCUAUUGACACCAUUUAAAGCCACUGAAAAGUCGGUUGAAACCUAUUCUUCUGAUCUAUUGCUUGGUUUGGUAUUCAAACCCUUUUCGUGGCUUUUUGACAUCUUGAUGUUUAUACGGUCUAGACUUUGCAUAGAAGGAUUACUAUUUGAAGCAUUCAUCGAGCUAUAAACACUGAAGGGGAUCGAUGUUCAAAACUGGCUUAAUCAAAGAUGCACAAGAUCUUUGUUAGUUUGUGAUUUAUUGCCUUCUUUAUACAGGAAAUAUGGAGCAAUGCUUGAAGGCAUGUUCUAUAUGAAUCCUAAUGCUGGAUGAGUGGUAGCAUUAAAACGAUGGGUGAUGGCGGAACAGUACUAGGUUUGCCGGCAUGGCUCUCGGGCCUGCACUGCUCAACCAUAUUUUUCAACGCACUGAACCCUCUAACGGGCCAAAUAUAUCACAUGUUACCUCCCGUUCUGUACCAAAAUUCACCCCUUAAAUUUUGUGUAGAUAUCUUGUAUUUUUAGUGUGCUUUGCGAUAUUAUUUUGGUUUUUGGCCGCCAGCAGUUGUACAUAUCAAGAGUAGGUGGAGAUUCAGGAGGUGUUUGGUUUUUUACGUCAUUGUAUAAUAAAUUAAUAUUUUCA